GGUUUGAUUAUGGCUCAGGACGAACGCUGGCGGCGUGCUUAACACAUGCAAGUCGAGCGAUGAAGCACCUUCGGGUGUGAAUUAGCGGCGAACGGGUGAGGAACACGUGAGAAAUCUGCCUUCAACACUGGGAUAACUCCGGGAAACCGGGGCUAAUACCGGAUAUGAAACCUGCGGGCAUCCGCGGGUUUGGAAAGUUUUUCGGUUGAAGAUGAUCUCGCGGCCUAUCAGCUUGUUGGUGAGGUAAUGGCUCACCAAGGCGACGACGGGUAGCCGGCCUGAGAGGGCGACCGGCCACACUGGGACUGAGACACGGCCCAGACUCCUACGGGAGGCAGCAGUGGGGAAUAUUGGGCAAUGGAGGAAACUCUGACCCAGCGACGCCGCGUGCGGGAUGAAGGCCUUCGGGUUGUAAACCGCUUUCAGCAGGGAAGAAGCGAAAGUGACGGUACCUGCAGAAGAAGCACCGGCUAACUAUGUGC
rnacentral:rRNA from 1 species